UGCGGGGCUCGGGAGCCCCCCGGCUGCUCAGAUAGCGCGGGGGAAGGAGGAGGGUGGGGGGCUGUCCUCAGCCGCCCCUCCCGCGUGGUACCGGGCGGUGUUCCUUACGGGGGAGCUGCACACGCCGGGAGCUCCGGCAGCACCUGGCUGCGUUUUGGGAUGCCUCUGGCUUUAGUUUUGCACCCUCCUAGCAUCGCAACGUUUUGGGGCGUCCUUAUGUCUCCGGCUGGAUUUGGCUGCCCUGAAUCUGGGUUACCGUGGCGUUUACUCUCUCACACCGAGUCUCAAUCUCGUUCUGCAGGCUGCAAAGCACAAACUGAAGUGCUGAGAGGCCAAGCUACAAGAAACGCAGUUGUCAGAGACAGUGGGAGGAAUAUUUUAGUAAAGAGGAUGUCAUAAGUACGUGAACCCUCAGCCAGGAAGUGAGAAGGUGCCCUGGAUUCAAUUCAAAGACGGCUUCAGAAGUUACAACCUGAGAAGGUGGAGACGGAUGGCACUCUGUAGGCCAGUCUUACUGCCAAAGCCAUCACCUUACCUAACUGUAUUUCUUCAAAAUCCCGUCUUCAUCAUGGACAACACCCAGAUAGUUUACCGGCAAAGUAAACGAAGAGCACAUCUUUAAUAAUCUUCUGGCUCAAACUGCACUACAGCACAGAAGAGCUGUGCUGUAUGAGCUGCCUGUGCGCAGCCCCACCAGUCCUUAGCCCGUGAGAAGAACGCCACGAAGCAGCGGCACACCUUGUCAGCCUGUUGAUAGCUUAGCACAGACAGUGAUUCAAGACAUUUGGAAAAAUGUUGCACGUUGCUAGUCAAACUAAUAGAAAUUCAUACUGACGGUUCUUCAAAUGAAACAAAACUGCAUUCUUGCCCUUUCUCUGGAAAAGAUACUUUACAGGGAAUAAAACCUUUUUUGAAGGUUUUCCAUUCACUCUCACCACUUAUUACUUCAGCCUUCUCAUUUCUGGUGUCCUUUUUCAAGCACCGGAGUUUGCCAGCAGGUUAUUGCACACUUUAGGAGACUAUAGUCUGCCUUGAGUCAGAAUUGUUACUGUAAAAUUAACUGCUGUCAUUGACACCUACAGCCUCCUUCGAGAUCAGUCGUACAAGCGCUGUUUCCUUUUCCGUUGUGAGUAACAUAUGUUUUCAGUUCUCAUUUGUAUUACUAAACAAAGGGUUUCAGAUUCUAACUCAAACCAUCUUUCAAAAUUAAAUUAGCUAAAGCCUUAAUUAGCCAGCACUGAUCAGAACAGAUUGCAGUGACUGCACAUGCUACUCCAGUCUAUCUCUUCAUUAAAAAGCUGCCAGCUUUUAAGGAAAAAAAAAGUAAUCAGAGACUAUUUUCCAUCUUAGUAGACCUCGGAAUUGUCUGAGGGGAAGCAGAAUGAUUGUAGUAAUAACCAAGAACCUCUGUAAUCCCUUCCUAGAUUCUUUCUCACUGAUUAACUGUUUUGAAAGUAAGGCAGACCUUAAAGGAAAAAUAAGCUAAACCAUUUGGUAAUGUAUGCCCCCACACAGGGGUAUGUCAGAAAUCUCUUCCACUUUUUUCCUUUGUGGAAAAACUGGUAGCCUGAUUCUUCUCUACUCUGUUUUUUGGAGACCAUAAAACCACGAAAGUCAUCAAAAUUACAUUGACGUAGAAUGUGCUAACGUCAUUAAGGACCAAUUCUUCAAAUGAGCCCAAAGGUCAGAUACUAUAAUAAAAAAUGUAAAUAUGCAGGAGUGCCAUUUUCUGAAAUUAAAAUUUCUUUUAACUAAUACAUUUCCUUUAAAAUGGUCACUAAAAUUGGUGUCUGGAAUGUAAAGCCAUCCAUUUUCUUACACAACAGGUAGGCAGCAGAACUACAAACAGAUCUGGAAGUCUCAAUGCUCUUCUGAGAGGACUGGUUUGAAAAGCAACUCAUGAUCCUGAUCUCUCUGUCCCAGUUAAAAACAUUAAAUGUAUACAGAGAUAGAACUGGACUAAGACUAUGUGUAUAUAUAUAUGGUCUUAAAUAUACAUACAUAUAUCUUAAGAUCUUUUGAAAUAGGUAUACUUCAGACCAGGACACCUCCAUCACAUUGAGUACAUUGGCGCGGGUUAGACGUCCUGCUACCAGUGUCCAUCUCCAUAGCCUUUGCUUGUCUGAUUGCCACUAGCGUCCUACCACUGUAUUAUGUUACAUGACAAAUUUGUAUUUAAUUUUAUACUGUAUGUUCUAUUCUGGUAUUUCUGUUACGAUUAAAUUGAGUUCAAGACAGUCCCUUGGCUGAACAGAAUGAAAGGGUCUGGAAUGCUCCUUUGUACCACACCAUUUCAGUUGCUCUUCGACAGAGUCGAAUCGACACACCAUUUCAGUUGCUCUUCGACAGAGUCGAAUUACUAUCUGCCUAAUAAUUGCAGGGUUUGGUGUCUGCUCUCCCAGAUCCUUGCAAUCCUCAACACCAAAAAUCUCUGACAAAGACAGAUGCAUUUGCUGCAUCAUUCUGCAGGGUACCAAAAUGGUCCAUACGGAUACCCUCCGUGAGCAGGAUAUCAAAGUAAAGCGCUGGUUCUCAGCCUUGGCACCAGCUGAUGCCACCCCCUCGCUUCUAUGCCCUGCAGGACUGCACACACUGCCUCCUUGCUCUCCCAGUCACCCUCAGCAUCUUUGUGCCCUGCUUUUUCUUGUCUGUGGGGCUGCUCCU